rnacentral:rRNA from 1 species
GACGAACCGUGCGAACGUUGUUCGGAAUCACUGGGCUUAAAGCGUGCGCAGGCGGCUUUGCAAGACAGAUGUGAAAUCCCCGGGCUUAACCUGGGAACUGCAUUUGUGACUGCAUGGCUGGAGUGCGGCAGAGGGGGAUGGAAUUCCGCGUGUAGCAGUGAAAUGCGUAGAUAUGCGGAGGAACACCGAUGGCGAAGGCAGUCCCCUGGGCCUGCACUGACGCUCAUGCACGAAAGCGUGGGGAGCAAACAGG